AAAAUCUCACCCUUGUGCAGUCAGUGAUAGUUUGUUAGCAUUUGGGCACUGAACCUAAGUGAAAUUCUCUGAACUUGAUUGGUCCCUUCAUAGCUUGUAAUGUUACUCACUGGAGCCAGUCAGGCCUUCACUGGCAAUUGCUUCUCCCAGCUGCUGGGGGCUGCUAUUGUAUUAGUCAAAUGAGAAGAGGGAGACUGCCACUCCACUUUCAGCCCUAUUUACAGUGUUUCCCAUGCAGUGGGAAGGAGCAGAAGAAACAUCCUAACAAUGCUUAAGAGAAGCAAAAGGUUUGAGAGGAUAGGGGCUGGAAAGGUAAAGUGACUGACGGGGCAGGAACAGAGAUGCAAGCAGGAUGAGGAAUGGUUAUGGGGCAGGACAGGGGGACAGAGUAUGUGGGGAGGAGCAGGAAGGUAUGUAACCACUAUAGAGGCUCCCCUCUGGAAGCCAGGAAUGCUGAGCCUCUGCAUUCUUUUGAUGUCUUGCAGAUAGUUGUGAAACCAACUGACAAAGCUUUCGUACCUUUUGGGGGCAGAUUGAGAUAGAAGAUAAGAUGCUUUUGAUACCCAGUAGCAGAAAAAAGGGCUGUAGAUGUAAAGAUCCCCACCUGUGUGCAUGUCCCCUGCCUCAUCCAGUGCAGAGUUAGCGUAUUUUUGUCAUGCAUCAAGUGUAUGUCAUGAAAGUAGCUGUUGUCUCUAUUGCAAAAGUUGAAGAGGCAUGGUAAAUGAAACAGGAACUGCAGUGAGGGAAGAGUUGCUGUUAUGGUGAAGGUAUCUUAAUGCUGCCUCUGCCAUAGACUGCUUUAUGUGAAGUUGGGCAAGUCAUAUAAAUGAAAAUAUUUAUAGAUAACUAGUUCCUGUUUCUUGACUGCUUCACUUGAAACACUUAGGGUCAACUCUGCAAGAAGUGCACACUCUCAGCUGCCACAAAAUUCAGUGGGAUUUCUGCUCUGCAUAUAACAUGCUGUAAAAUGUUGAGUACUCUGAAAAAUUUGGCCAAGGCUGCUUGAAUCCUAUUUUCAGCCAAUUUUUGAUUUUCCAACCCAUUUUAUCCCACGUGCAAAACAGAAUCGAUCCCUUUCACUUCAGGCAUUCUUAUGAAGAUCACUUUUAUUUGUAAAGACCUGUGGUACUUGCACUAUCAGAAAAAACCAAGAAAAAAUUAAAUUUAAUAUUCAGUGGAUGGUGUGAAAGAUAUCUAGCAUAGGGUCACACAUUGAGAAGAAUAUGUAGUAGUUAAGAUUAUUAGUCAAUGAGGCUGGGAGUCUGUAGGAAAGGUGUAGCUGGGUGAUCAUCAGGGAUCCUAGAAAUUAGUUUGCCAUGGAGAAACAUGGAAUGUGUAUUUUUUAUAGGCAAGCUUUAGAGUUGGGGUGGGGGGAAACCGUACAGAAAAUGAAAUGUUGGCUUUCUAGGAGGAGCCAGCAGUUACUACAGCCUCUAAGGCAGACUGCCAGGGGUGAGAAGCCACCAGCACACAGGGAAGCAGCUGAGAUGGCAGCUGCCCUCUCCUCCCUCUGCUGCUGAUUAGCUGAGAGUGCUGCCCAUUGUGUGACCUCACCCCUCUCUGCCACUGAGGGGCAGGGCCACAUGAAUGACAGCCCUCAGCCAAUCAGCAGCAAGGGGUGGGGCCACUACAAGCCCCACAGCCAAUCAGUUCUGGGGGGAGGCUUACCACAGAAACACUUAUUUUUUUAACAUUUCUGUCCUUUUCAUCACAGAAAACUAUGAUCCCUAACAAGACCAUCAAUGCUAUACAUAAGGGUGCUGAAGUCAGGUCUACAGUAAAUUUAAGUUCAUCCUUGCUAGAUACUCAAUUUCAACUGUGUUUAAGAGCUAGGAAGCAGAGAAAUUAGUCAUUUCUCUGAUUUCUUCAUGCUCAUCUACAGGUGAAAAAAACCUUUUUGUUAACAUCUGUACUUGACAACUGGGAGAUCUGGAUGAAAUAUUCAAACAUAGAAUUAAAAUGUAUGAUAUGCUGGCAAGAUUUAUAAUAGAGCAAGUAUUAUAUUUAGGAAUGGGAGAAACUAGGCUUCUAGAUU